CGCACUAGUCGGGGAGUUAGCGGUGCCCUGCACCUGCAAUCCGCUACAGCAGGGAUGAAUUCCCACACCCGGACAGGUAUGUGUGCCAUCCGAACCCUUGUAAGAGGUGUUGACAGAUCGGUCUCGCGCAAUGGGAUCCCGUGAACCAUGUCAGGUGGGGAACCAAGCAGCAUUAAGCGGACCUUCCCGUGUGCCGCGGGAAUGCCGAUUUUGAGCUUUCUGCACGGAUUCUGG
rnacentral:SRP_RNA from 1 species